AACGAACGCUGGCGGCAGGCCUAACACAUGCAAGUCGAACGCCGUAGCAAUACGGAGUGGCAGACGGGUGAGUAACGCGUGGGAACCUACCUUACGGUCGGGAAUAGCUCAGGGAAACUUGGGGUAAUACCGGAUACGCCCUUACGGGGAAAGAUUUAUCGCCGUUAGAUGGGCCCGCGUAGGAUUAGGUAGUUGGUGAGGUAAUGGCUUACCAAGGCGACGAUCCUUAGCUGGUCUGAGAGGAUGAUCAGCCACACUGGGACUGGGACACGGCCCAGACUCCUACGGGAGGCAGCAGUGGGGAAUAUUGGACAAUGGGCGCAAGCCUGAUCCAGCCAUGCCGCGUGAGUGACGAAGGCCUUAGGGUUGUAAAGCUCUUUUGGCGGGGGAGAUAAUGACGGUACCCGCAGAAUAAGCUCCGGCUAACUUCGUGCCAGCCGCCGCUGUAA
rnacentral:rRNA from 1 species